CCAUAGGCUCUUUAAGAGCCACCAAACAGCAUCCGGAGGUGGGUGU
rfam:Podiceps cristatus contig74712, whole genome shotgun sequence.